rnacentral:RNase_P_RNA from 1 species
AUGGGCCGGCGGACGGUCGCGUCGCGGCACUUCGGUGCACGCGCCGAGGAACGUCCGGGCUGCACAGAGGAGAACGGUGGGUAACACCCACCCGGGGCAACCCGCGAGCAAGUGCAACAGAGAGUAGACCAGCCUUCCGGCGCAGCCGGGAGGUCCGGGUGAAAGGGUGGUGUAAGAGACCACCGGCGUUCGUGGUGACACGGGCGGCCAGGCAAACCUCGUUCGCAGCAAGGCCGGACAGCAGGCGUUGACGCUCCUCGCCGAGCCUGCGGGUGGGCCGCUAGAGGGUGUCGGCAACGGCACUCCGAGAGAGAUGACCGUCACCGCCGAUCUCCGGAUCGGCGGGACAGAACCCGGCGUACAGCCGGCCCAUUCCG